GUAAGCAGUGAAGCCCAUGAGCCACUAGAAGCCACAUGUUCUGCCAUGUGGAGAAGAAUGAGAGAGUACAUCCUCAAAUUGAGGUGUGGCAUGAUGAUUUGGCUGCCCAGAGGAGAACCUGUCUUUCCCAUCUAAAGUGGGAGGUCAAGCCAAGUAGAGGGAAACAGCAACUGGAGAGCAGAUUUGCAAACCAGAAAAGCAACUCAUGAAUACAAAUUGCCUGGAAAGCAUUUAUUACAACAGAAGCUCUGCAAGAUAUACCGGAAAUUGACAGUGGCAUCGAAUUCCCAGCAAGGAAGUUUUCUAAGGACACCAACAGACACCAGCAGAAGACAGCCUUGCAUUUACAACAAACCAUUGAUCCACAACAAACCAUUGAUCCACACUUUCAAAAUCAUUGAGGUGAAGCAUAGAGAACUGGAGUGGAGACGGCUCUGGCAAAUCCAAACAAUAUCAAAAGCACUCUCAUACUGAAAACCCACAGUGCUGAACCACAGCUGAGAUGUAAAAUAUUUCACAAAAUCUUCUUCACCCUCUAUAGUAUUUCACCUGAGAGUGCAUGAUUUAAGUUGCAAGCACUGUCAUAGAUGAUGGGAUUCAGAGAUGAACACAUGGAAAUGGACUUUAUGUUCUCUAAUGUCACAAAGAAAGAGUGAUUAUGAAGAAGACCCAGAUUCCCACCUAUUAAUCUGAGCUUUGAAUUCUUUACUUUGCUGGGUCCACCGGAUUUUUUCUCCACUCAGCCCAUCGAUGAGAGUGGAGGCGGCCUGCAUCUUUUUCCGCAUCUCCACAGUCAAAUCCCUGAUUUGCCAGAGAUGAUCAAGACUGCAACUUUUUAUUGAGCAGCUCAAUCAAGAACUAAUUGUGUUCUCCUGUGCUCCAAUAGCUAUCACCAAAAAGCUAUCUCCACCACCACUCAAUCAUCUCUUUAAAAUGUCCAGGGGUGCCCUCUGUACUUUGACUCAGAGUCAGUCUAAUCAACUCUGGCUCCAAAAUACUUAACUAAUUUUUGCACCAUUAAGCAUCUGUAUACCAUGGUGUAGGGAAGAGUUAACACAGCAGGCCUAAUCUUGAAAAGGGUAUGCUUGCAGAGCUGACCCUUGUCUGUUAUCAGGGAACUUGGCUUUUGGAAUGUCUCCUCCAUUAGUAAUUGAUAAGGUUGUUUUGCAGUGCCAACUAGACUGUUUACACAAACCUUGUGAUACAUGGCAAACAUCUAUCUGCUUUCCUUCUAGGAAUCUGGAACUUUGGUAGUUGUAGCUAGGCAGGAAGUGACCAAACCUAAAAAAAAACCACUGGACUCUGAAUCUCAAGUGGGCUUCCCUGAAUGGAAACAGUGCAUAUGUUACUGCCCUUCAUACUGGAUGGAGAGGACGUUCUGCAUGGCCCCUUGGCAAAAGCAUAGGAAGCUGGAACAUCAAUUCCAUGUUCCUGGAACAUCGAUGACUCCACAAGAUGAGUCUUUUUCUCUACUGAUCUGGCUCUGUAUCCUUACUGUGUUGCCACAAUAAAUCUCAGCCAUGAGUAUAACUAUAAGUUGAACAUCCCUUAUUCAAAAUGCUUGGGACCACAAUGUUUCAGAUUUCAGAUUUUUUUCAGAUUUUGGAAUGUUUGCAUUUCACUUACUGGUUGAGCACCCCCAAAUCAAAAAAUCUGAAAUCUAAAAUGCUCCAAUAAUGAGCAUGUCCUUUGAGCAUCAUGUCCGUGCUCAAAAAGUUUCAGAUUUUGGAGCAUUUUGGAUUCCAGAGUUUUGGAUUUGAGAAGCUCGACCUGUAUAUGCUGAGUCUGGUGAGUCUUUCUGAUGAAGUACUAAAGAUGUGAGUGCUCACGGAAGUGCUGAUACAAGCGGUUUCAGAAGUGGCAGUACAGACAUCCAUUUACAACUAACAGAACUCUUUCAACCAUUCUAUACUCCUCACUAGUAUGCAGAUAGAUGGACAGAUACUUUGCUUCUCCUAAAAUAAAUUAUAAGACCAAAGUGAAGACUGAAGAGACAAGUAAGGAACCAUGUUCAAAAUUAAACAAAGCAUCUGGAGAUGGGCAGCAUUCAUUUCACAGGAACUUCAGAAAAUCUGCUAAAUCUCGUACAUUAACCAUGUCUAAAAUAAAAAAUGUACUAAAUAGC